rnacentral:rRNA from 1 species
UUGCACGCUGGCGGCAUGCCUUACACCUGCAAGUCGAACGGCAGCACGGGUGCUUGCACCUGGUGGCGAGUGGCGAACGGGUGAGUAAUACAUCGGAACAUGUCCUGUAGUGGGGGAUAGCCCGGCGAAAGCCGGAUUAAUACCGCAUACGAUCUACGGAUGAAAGCGGGGGACCUUCGGGCCUCGCGCUAUAGGGUUGGCCGAUAGCUGAUUAGCUAGUUGGUGGGGUAAAGGCCUACCAAGGCGACGAUCAGUAGCUGGUCUGAGAGGACGACCAGCCACACUGGGACUGAGACACGGCCCAGACUCCUACGGGAGGCAGCAGUGGGGAAUUUUGGACAAUGGGCGAAAGCCUGAUCCAGCAAUGCCGCGUGUGUGAAGAAGGCCUUCGGGUUGUAAAGCACUUUUGUCCGGAAAGAAAUCCUUGGCUCUAAUACAGUCGGGGGAUGACGGUACCGGAAGAAUAAGCACCGGCUAACUACGUG